AGACAGUGACUCGAGUAUAAGCCGAGUUGGGGUUUUUCAGCACAAAAAAUGUGCUGAAAAACUCGGCUUAUACUCGAGUAUAUACGGUAACUGGGCCUCUGAGACUUUGAAUUAUUUAGGGAUCAACUUAGGCUUUACCUGUAACAAAAUUAUUUUGCCUAUCUACUCCACUCCUCUUUAAGAAAUAAACAACUCCUUCACUAAAUGGAAACCCCUAUUUAUAUCCUGGAUGAGUAGAAUUAGUGUUAUCAAAGAUUAUAUAAUGCCUAACAUCGAAUAUUUAUUGCGUUCAAUGCCUUUGAGGAUAUCUAAAAAUAGACAAUUUGGAUGGAUAAUGUAGCUUUUAAAAAAAA